AUUGAACGCUGGCGGCAGGCCUAACACAUGCAAGUCGAGCGGAUGACGGGAGCUUGCUCCUUGAUUCAGCGGCGGACGGGUGAGUAAUGCCUAGGAAUCUGCCUGGUAGUGGGGGACAACGUUUCGAAAGGAACGCUAAUACCGCAUACGUCCUACGGGAGAAAGCAGGGGACCUUCGGGCCUUGCGCUAUCAGAUGAGCCUAGGUCGGAUUAGCUAGUAGGUGAGGUAAUGGCUCACCUAGGCGACGAUCCGUGACUGGUCUGAGAGGAUGAUCAGUAACAAUGGAACUGAGACACGGUCCAGACUCCUACGGGAGGCAGCAGUGGGGAAUAUUGGACAAUGGGCGAAAGCCUGAUCCAGCCAUGCCGCGUGUGUGAAGAAGGUCUUCGGAUUGUAAAGCACUUUAAGUUGGGAGGAAGGGUUGUACGUUAAUACCGUGCAGUUUUGACGUUACCGACAGAAUAAGCACCGGCUAACUCUGUGCCAGCAGCCGCGGUAA
rnacentral:rRNA from 1 species